rnacentral:sRNA from 1 species
AGUCGUGUUCCUCUUCUGACGUAAAGGGUGGUCGGCUAAUCCCCUGUGAAAGGGGGUGAUGCCUCUGGACGCUUACCAAAUGUUUGUUAUAUUAUUUUCGUUUGGUAGCUUUUUAGUUGGUUUGCUUGGCUUAGUUGUAAAGCUGAUCUCUGAGUUUAUCAACAAAAAAUAGACCUCCCUUACACGCUUAAAUGUUAAGGGGAGGUCUAUCUUGUUUAGGAUGGGCCGAUCCUCUGUUUAAGAGAACACGGACUCGAGCGACCACAGUGCCAGCUGUGGUCG